CGCGCCCGCCUUGAGCCGCGGGAGCAGCGGCGGUAGAAGCGGCGAGAGAACCGGGGGAUCGCGCUGCCGGGGGAAAAGCUGGAGCGAGGCGAAAGCGUGUAACAAUUGCACACGCACGCACACACAGCACUCACACGCGCUCGCCGCCCGCCCGCUCGCACAGCGCUGGAACACGCGCGCCCAGACACGCACACACGCACGCACACACACUCGCACACACGCAGAGGCACGGGGGGGAAAGAAGCCGAUGAAUAAUUUCGCUAUUUUUUAAAAUACUGGCCGCCAUCAUCAAGCAGCGAGCAGCAGCGGCUGGAAGGGGAGAGGAGGCAAGGGGCAGGCCCCUCUUAGGAGAGGAUUUAUAUCUAGUUGGAAAAAAAAGAAAGAAAAGAAAAAGAAGAAAAAGAAGAAAAAAAUUGUCAAGCCCCCGAACUGGAGGUUACGAGCGGCCCGUCAGCAGCCCACAUGUAACCGAACUGUCGUGUUUCAUGGCUUUUUGCCACUCCAGAUGUCAAUCAGAGCCCGGAAUGUCAAGGUAGUGAAUGAGUGAUGCUUGACGAUGAUGAAGAGGAGGAAUCUCUCAGACCCGUUUUUUUUUUUCUUCCAGUAAAACUCCACGAGGGGUUUCUGCUUCUUGAAUUUUUUCCUCCCCUCCCCCCUUUUAGCUUGGCCCCCGCGAUAUCGCUAAUAGGAUCCUCUCUCUUUAAAGUAUUGUUCAAAAAAAAGCGGGGAGAAAAAUCGAGAAAAAAACGAAUAGUUUGCAGAAAUUGGACUUCCUCCCCCCCUCUCCUGAAGAACUCCAAGAUUAAAAAUAUUCUUCUCGUGUGAUGCCGAGUUGCUUGCUGGUCGACAUAUUUUAAAAAGGGUCCCCUCCAGUCUGAUAGGAAAGACAGGAUCACUUCUGGACUUGCUGUAAGGAUGUGUUUUUGUUUCUAUAACACUGAAGCACUUUUCAUAAACCUUUUAAUGUAUCUAUAUAAGUCUAUUUGGCUAUUAAAAGAAGCGAAUGCACAAAGAUAGCUUGGCUUUAUGCCCUCAAUGUAGCAGUAACAACAACAACAAAAAUCCAGAAUCUGAGACUUCUUUGCAUACUCAUCCUUGCCUCCAAAAAAAAAAGCAAAGCAAACAAAAGUUUGUGGCUCCCAUCUGUAUGUCUUCGAGUGUGCGUUUAUAAACAUCUUCCCGGUUGAUGUUACCUCCCUCGUGCCGAACACACGAAGGCAGAGGCAUCGAGGGAUUGCCCCAUAAGAGCUGUUUACUUAGGGUAUUUUUUUUUAAAAUCUCUCCACCGUAUAUGACAAGUGGUACUUCAAGAAAUUCGUCAGCCUUCUCCGGAUACUUCCGGUCCUGCUGUAAUGAUCUGCAGAAAAGACCUGCCAUCGCUUUAUCACAUCCCAAGGUGUUGCGGGACCCCGAGAGAGGGGACAGUGGUAGCCACAUUUAAUUACCUUGGGGAGGGAGGGGUGCCGGCCUGGCCGCUGGCGGGCUGGACUGGGACGGGAGGGUCCCCCCUCCUGAGGCACCUGAGGAAGCUCCUAGGCUCCUCUCUAGGACCGUUUGGAAAAGGUAUGGUUGCUUUUUUUUUUUUUUUUUUUAAU